GUAUGGUGCAAGCGUUAUCCGGAUNUACUGGGCGUAAAGGGAGCGCAGGCGGUGCGGCAAGUCUGAUGUGAAAGCCCGGGGCUCAACCCCGGUACUGCAUNGGAAACUGUCGUACUAGAGUGUCGGAGGGGUAAGCGGAAUUCCUAGUGUAGCGGUGAAAUGCGUAGAUAUUAGGAGGAACACCAGUGGCGAAGGCGGCUUACUGGACGAUAUCUGACGCUGAGGCUCGAAAGCGUGGGGAGCAAACAGGAUUAGAUACCCUGGUAGUCCACGCCGUAAACGAUGAUUACUAGGUGUGGGGGGACUGACCCCUUCCGUGCCGCAGCAAACGCAAUAAGUAAUCCACCUGGGGAGU
rnacentral:rRNA from 1 species